rnacentral:rRNA from 1 species
GUGCCAGCAGCCGCGGUAAUACGUAGGUGGCAAGCGUUGUCCGGAAUUAUUGGGCGUAAAGCGCGCGCAGGCGGUUAUGUAAGUCUGAUGUUAAAGCCCGGGGCUCAACCUCGGUCCGCAUUGGAAACUGUGUAACUUGAGUGCAGAAGAGGAAAGUGGUAUUCCACGUGUAGCGGUGAAAUGCGUAGAGAUGUGGAGGAACACCAGUGGCGAAGGCGACUUUCUGGUCUGUAACUGACGCUGAGGCGCGAAAGCGUGGGGAGCAAACAGGAUUAGAUACCCCUGUAGUCC